UGGGGAAUAUUGGACAAUGGGCGAAAGCCUGAUCCAGCAAUGCCGCGUGAGUGAUGAAGGCCUUAGGGUUGUAAAGCUCUUUUACCAGGGAUGAUAAUGACAGUACCUGGAGAAUAAGCUCCGGCUAACUCCGUGCCAGCAGCCGCGGUAAUACGGAGGGAGCCAGCGUUGUUCGGAAUUACUGGGCGUAAAGCGUACGUAGGCGGUGACUCAAGUCAGAGGUGAAAGCCUGGAGCUCAACUCCAGAACUGCCUUUGAAACUAGGUCGCUAGAAUCACGGAGAGGUGAGUGGAAUUCCGAGUGUAGAGGUGAAAUUCGUAGAUAUUCGGAAGAACACCAGUGGCGAAGGCGGCUCACUGGACGUGUAUUGACGCUGAGGUACGAAAGCGUGGGGAGCAAACAGGAUUAGAUACCCUUGUAGUCCCUGAGCGGGCUGGCAAGGCGCAU
rnacentral:rRNA from 1 species